AGCUAACUUUAACCUGGCCAUCCUGUGUUUGUGUCUAAUACUUUAUAUUUUUCAUCAAGCAGUGUAGUUGUUUUAGUGAAGCUUUCUGCAGACAGUUGUCACUGACAUAUCCAUGCCUGCCUCCUGAAGAGUGUUGGACCUGCCAGAGGUGUUUCAGGGUUUUCUGCAUUAUGCCUCACAAUGGCUUUCUUGACUUCCAGUGGAUGAAUCCCUAAGAGUCAGGCAGAACCUGCGAGGAUUUGAGAUGGACUCUUCCGUCCAACAGGAGCACCAGUGCCCAAAGUGAUAUUGUUUCUUUCAAUGGCUUCUCCGUCACCGCCAUCGUGCCAACAUCCACGCAGACAGCCCUCCUCCGGAAGACAGGCACCAGCUUCCACAUUACAAGCCCCAUAGCAGCGGUGGAAGAUCCAGGUUCAGGCAGAUGUCCUCCGUAGUAUUUUGUUCCAAUUGUCUGGAUUUGCUAAUCAGCACGAUUCAUCAAUCAGGAACUUAAAAUUAAUUAGCGAAAACAUCUGGUUGGGUUCAUGGGUGGAAGAAACACAUGGCAGGACUUUUACUUUGUAACCCCUUGACUUUCCACUUCUGCCAAACAGCUCACUAGAGAACAGCUAAAUGGGGUAGCCUGUAACAUAGUGGCUAAGGUACAUGACUGGGACCCAGGAGUGGGCAGUGGUUCGAUCCCUAGUGUAGUCCUGAUAAGAUCCGCACAGCUGUUGGGCCCUUGGGCAAGGCUCUUAACCCCAUAUUGCUCCAGGGGAGAUUGUCUCCUGCUUAGCCUAAUCAACUGUAAGUUUUGGAUAAAACCUUCAGCUAAAAAAAACAUGCAGUGUAGCUAGCACUGAAUGUAGGAGAGGCACAGCUCAUGCUGAUAAAUCACAGCUGGUAUGAAUAGAUACUGUAAAUGUGUUCAUGCAGGCUAGCCAUAGCCGAAGGAAUCCUGGCUGGCUUAUGUCUUACAGGAGCCAGAUAAAACUGUCUGCUACCACGCGCAGCAGGCUCUAGGUCUUAAUAACAUCAAGUAGCCAGGCUAGAGUAGGGCUCGCUGCUCUCAUGUGUCAAUAUGACCAAGUACAUUUUUAUUUUUUUAUGUUACAUCUCAGAUUAAAGCAAAAUUAGUCCAUUCCCGCAAAGCCCUAAAAGUGUUGGCUACUAAAAUCAAAGCAGUGGUAAUGCGUGUCACUAGCUACGGCUUUACUGUGUUUAUGUUCAGUAUGGAGUGUGAUUCAAAGUAAAACUGCACUAAAACUCCCUACUACGGUUUCUACUAAAACUAGAAAUGUUCCACUUACAUUUCCAUGCUUUAUUGUGCGCUCUUAUGAUGAAUCAGGUGAGUGCUCUCACGAUUUAACAACAACCUCCUCGGGUUUUGCUUCUGCUUAACAAGUGUUUUCAUCCUUUGUAUUUCCGUUUUUCGUUGAACAGCGAUUUUUCAUUGAACUGUUGGAGGCAUUGCUGCACCAAGUUUCAGCAAUAAUCACGGCCAGUGUGCAGAAGGCUCGCAGAAAUCAUGUUAAGAGAUUUUGUCGAAGCCGAUGUGUUCUGGGUUUGAAACGUAUAGAAUCGUUUCUAAGCUCGCAAACCGCAUCUCAUUGAAAACUCAUCUUCUCCUGUGCCCCAAAUAGCAUUUUAUUGCUGUUGUUUGUCAAGUUUAUAUCUUGGAUGUGAUUUCGUUUAUCCCCUGAAGCAUCUCUUAAAUUCCCCAGG